rnacentral:lncRNA from 1 species
UUAAUUUUUAAAUAAAUAUAGCACAGUUGUUUUAUAUUUUAAAGCAACAACUCUUAUUUUACUUACUAAUAUCUGAUUAUUCCUUAAUAAAAAUAUUCAUUACAAAAAUAAUGAUUUCAUUAUGGCUGCUUAAUAUUUAAAUGAAAAAUAUCACACGAAUGGUCAGCAUAAGAACAAAAUGCAAACAUGCUAAGGUAUAUUACUAACAGACCUCUGAAAAGAAAGUCGUCUAUAGAUAUAGGAAGAUGUGGUGUGAGUGCAAAUGAGACAACUCUCCAUCCAAAUAACAAUAUAUUAAAGUAAACCAUUAUAGGUCAAUGUACGGCCUUCAACACGGAGCCUUUGCUCACACCGAACAAAAAGCUAUAAAGGGCACCAAAAUUACUAGUGUAAAACCAUUCAAACGGAAAUGUAUUUUUUUAAGUUCUAUCACAAACUUUCAAUGAUGGUACUGUAGUCAACUAUGUAUUUCCAAAAUGGUUUUACAAACUUCAAGGCAUGGUAUUGUAAUUGUCUUUGUGUUUUCUAAAU